CCAAGCUUAGAGUUUGAUCCUGGCUCAGGACGAACGCUGGCGGCGUGCUUAACACAUGCAAGUCGAACGAGGCCCAAGCGUCAGCAAUGACGUGGAAGGCCUAGUGGGGAACGGGUGAGUAACACGUGAGGAACCUACCCCGGACUCAGGGAUAACAGACGGAAACAUCUGCUAAUACCUGAUGCCGUCGGAGCAUCACAUGGUGCACUGACGAAAGAAUCUCGGUUCGGGAGGGCCUCGCGGCCUAUCAGCUAGUUGGUGGGGUAACGGCCUACCAAGGCAUCGACGGGUAGCUGGUCUGAGAGGAUGAUCAGCCACACUGGGACUGAGACACGGCCCAGACUCCUACGGGAGGCAGCAGUGGGGAAUCUUGCGCAAUGGGCGAAAGCCUGACGCAGCAACGCCGCGUGCGGGAAGAAGGCCUUAGGGUUGUAAACCGCUUUCAGUAGGAACGAAAAUGACGGUACCUGCAGAAGAAGGUGCGGCCAACUACGUGCCAGCAGCCGCGGUGACACGUAGGCACCAAGCGUUGUCCGGAUUUAUUGGGCGUAAGGAGCUCGUAGGCGGUUCAGUAAGUCGGGUGUGAAAACUCUGGGCUUAACCCAGAGCCGCCACUCGAUACUGCUGUGACUAGAGUUCGGUAGGGGAGCAGGGAAUUCCUAGUGUAGCGGUGAAAUGCGCAGAUAUUAGGAGGAACACCGGUGGCGAAGGCGCUGCUCUGGGCCGAUACUGACGCUGAGGAGCGAAAGCGUGGGUAGCAAACAGGAUUAGAUACCCCUGGUAGUCCACGCCGUAAACGUUGGGCACUAGGUGUGGGGUUCCAACCAACGGAAUCCGCGCCGUCGCUAACGCAUUAAGUGCCCCGCCUGGGGAGUACGGCGGCAACGCUAAAACUCAAAGGAAUUGACGGGGGCCCGCACAAGCAGCGGAGCGUGUUGCUUAAUUCGAUGCAACGCGAAGAACCUUACCUGGGCUUGACAUGCUAGGAAAAGCCGU
rnacentral:rRNA from 1 species